GCCCGGCUGGCUCAAUCGGUAGAGCGUGAGACUCUUAAUCUCAAGGUUGUGUGUUCGACCCCCACGUUGGGCU